ensembl:lncRNA
GUCAACCUUAGGUCAUGACGACGUGGGGACUGGUGUCCAUAUACGUUUAAAGGGCUAAUUUCGACGUGGAGGUGACGAUCAAGGAUAAAGGAUGAAUUUCUACUAGACCAGCCAGAAUUCAGCGUGAACUGAUUAUGGCAAAACGGUAUGAACUUUGAACUCUUAUUCACUAAAGAAGAAGUGAUACAUCCUAGAAGUCUAGUUAUCAGCUGCAGCUGUAAUCGUAUGUGGCCUAGGAAUCUCCUAUGAGAACGACAGGGUACUUCAACGUAUCCACUCUACAUCACUACGGCCAGAAAUAUUCUACAAAGGACAAGGGCAAUCUCUGCUGGGCAAACCAGUCUUCCAUCAUCGACCCAUCUAUCGAAGCGCAGCUCAGUCUCCAUGCUGGAGAGCCAAAAAAACCCUGGUGGCUCUGUUUCUCACCCCCAGAACUGAUUGUGCCCUCCGCUUCUCCCUCAGCGUCUUCCAGUUUACCUCUCUAACCCAGACACACCGAGGACCCCGGCCCCAUGCACAACUCAUGCACCUACCGAGCGAAUGGGUAUGCUGACGCAAGCGUACAUCGUUACAGACUCCAAAUGUGUGACGUCCAAACCCAAAAGAGCUAUUAUGGAUGGGUUUGCCAGCAUUGGGCUUCUGCUGCUCUCAGAUCAGCUAUCCACACUGAAGGGUGGUUUCCUACCAGUCAGUCCCUCACUGGUCAAUGACGAUGAUGAAGAUGUUGUCUGGUGUGACAUCAAAAUGGAUGGGAAGAUGGAUGAGUGUGACAACCCAGAGGAUAUACUGGAACCUUUGAUGUGGAGAAGUAUUGUGAUAAGGAAGAGCUGUGCUACACUCGUUCCACAGAAAAAGAACAACAUUUAGAGGAGGAUGAAGAAUGAAGUAUUUAGAAAGGGGAAGAUAUGAGGGUACACAUGGGUCGGGUAUGGGGGAUUUAGAGUUGAUAAGGGGAGAAGGUCAGGGUUUAGAGCUGAGGAGGG